rnacentral:rRNA from 1 species
AUUGAACGCUGGCGGCAGGCCUAACACAUGCAAGUCGAACGGUAACAGGAAGCAGCUUGCUGCUUCGCUGACGAGUGGCGGACGGGUGAGUAAUGUCUGGGAAGCUGCCUGAUGGAGGGGGAUAACUACUGGAAACGGUAGCUAAUACCGCAUAAUGUCGCAAGACCAAAGAGGGGGACCUUCGGGCCUCUUGCCAUCGGAUGUGCCCAGAUGGGAUUAGCUUGUUGGUGGGGUAACGGCUCACCAAGGCGACGAUCCCUAGCUGGUCUGAGAGGAUGACCAGCCACCCUGGAACUGAGACACGGUCCAGACUCCUACGGGAGGCAGCAGUGGGGAAUAUUGCACAAAGGGCGCAAGCCUGAUGCAGCCAUGCCGCGUGUAUGAAGAAGGCCUUCGGGUUGUAAAGUACUUUCAGCGGGGAGGAAGGGAGUAAAGUUAAUACCUUUGCUCAUUGACGUUACCCGCAGAAGAAGCACCGGCUAACUCCGUG